AGAGAAGCUGUACGGAUGACUUAGUGGCUUUACCUAACAGAUGCAGAGGUGACAUGCAGCGUCUCAAAUGUUUCCCUGCUGCCCUACAUCUCGCCUGACGCGUUUUCUUCUCGUGAAUCAAGGCUAUGGAAUCCACUGGAUGCAGAGAGAAUCUGAACACGUGAACUUCUAGAUGGUUGUAUGAUGGGGACAACAUAUUAUCUUGCUUAAAUAAUAACCAACAUCAUCAGCAUCUCAUAGAUGCAAAGUUGAAUCGCACGCGACAAAAAUAAACAGAGAUGUUGAAGGUAUUGUGAGUUUCGCCCAGUGGUGGUCGUCUGUAAGAGGAGGGUUUAAUCAGGGUCGUUAUACGCCCCUUUAAUGCAAGUUUCCAUGGAGGACGGAUCUAUUAGGAGGACAUUUCCAUCGGAAGUCCUUCACGGACUCUUCGCAGUGGCUUUUGUAAAAAAUGUGCGGCGCUUGGGUCGCCAGUAACACGGUUAUUUACAAUGAUGGGACCGCGCAGCCAGUCUCAGGCAGAGCCAAGCAUGACUCCGCCACGAUGCUCAUCCUCCGCUGCUGACAGGUUGCCUACGGAGACUGUUCAGAGAAAUAACAGCAGUAAUACUGGUGUUAUUCUGGACAUCUCCACCCUGAAAAUGGCCGAUGUGGACUCUGAGGUUCCUCCUCUACCUCCACGAUACCGCUUUAGAGAUCUGCUGCUUGGAGAUCAAUCAUUUCAGAAUGAUGACAGGGUGCAGGUGGAAUUUUAUGUAAAUGAAAACACAUUCAAGGAGAGGUUGAAGCUCUUUUUCAUCAAAAACCAAAGGUCAAGUCUCAGAAUACGCCUCUUCAACCUCUCCUUGAAGUUGUUAACAUGUCUGCUCUAUAUAAUCAGAGUCUCACUAGAUGAUCCAACUAACCAGGUCACAUGUGCACGGAAACACUGCACAAACAUCACAGAUGCCCUUUGCAGCAAAGCCUGUGCAAACUACACAACAAACCCGACCACAGAUCCCCCGCAAAUAAACUGGGAGUUAAUAUUUUGGGUGAAUAGGAGAGUUCCUGUAUGGGCAAUACAGGUGACAGUGGCCUUAAUUAGCUUCUUGCAAGCAAUGCUCCUGGUGUAUCUCAGCUAUAAGGGGAACAUUUGGGAGCAAAUUUUCCAAAUCUCCUUCAUCAUUGAGAUGAUCAAUACAGUGCCAUUUAUAAUUACAAUCUUUUGGCAUCCGCUAAGAAACAUAUUUGUUCCUGUGUUUCUUAAUUGUUGGCUUGCCAAAUCAGCGCUGGAGAACAUGAUUAAUGAUCUCCAUCGUGCCAUUCAGCGCACACACUCUGCCAUGUUCAACCAGGUCCUCAUUCUGAUCUGUACACUGCUCUGUCUGGUCUUCACUGGGGCUUGUGGGAUUCAGCAUCUCGAGCGGGCAGGAAAGAGUCUCACCCUCUUCGACUCUUUAUAUUUCUGCAUCGUCACCUUCUCGACUGUUGGUUAUGGAGACGUCACACCCAAAAUCUGGCCCUCUCAGCUACUGGUGGUCAUCAUGAUCUGUGUGGCUCUGGUGGUGCUGCCAUUACAGUUUGAGGAGUUGGCGUAUCUCUGGAUGGAGAGGCAGAAGUCAGGUGGAAACUACAGCAGACACCGUGCUCAGACAGAGAAACAUGUGGUUCUCUGUGUCACUUCACUCAAAAUAGACUUGCUCAUGGAUUUCCUCAAUGAGUUCUAUGCCCACCCGAGACUACAGGAUUAUUAUGUGGUGAUACUCUGUCCCACGGAGAUGGACAUCCAGGUGCGGCGUAUUCUGCAGAUCCCGCUGUGGUCUCAACGGGUCAUCUACCUCCAAGGCUCUGCACUGAAGGACCAAGAUCUGAUGAGGGCCAAGAUGGACGAUGCAGAGGCGUGCUUCAUCCUCAGCAGCAGAAAUGAAGUGGACCGCACCGCAGCCGAUCAUCAAACCAUUCUGCGAGCCUGGGCUGUGAAGGACUUUGCUCCAAACUGUCCUCUAUAUGUCCAGAUUCUUAAACCUGAGAACAAAUUCCAUGUCAAAUUUGCAGGUAUGUUUUGUUUUCUAGAUCAUGUGGUGUGUGAAGAGGAGUUCAAGUAUGCCAUGCUGGCCCUCAACUGUGUGUGUCCAGCCACCUCUACACUGGUCACACUGCUGGUGCACACGUCUCGUGGACAGGAGGGACAGACUUCUCCAGAACAGUGGCAGAGGACGUAUGGCCGUUGCUCGGGGAAUGAAGUUUACCACAUCCGUUUGAUGGACAGCAAGUUCUUUGGCGAAUAUGACGGGAAGAGUUUCACUUACGCCUCCUUCCAUGCACAUAAAAAGUACGGUGUCUGCCUAAUUGGCACAAAGAGAGAAGAGAAUAAGAGCAUACUUCUGAACCCCGGCCCUCGCCACAUCAUGUCCGCCACAGAUACCUGCUACUACAUCAACAUCACUAAGGAGGAGAACUCUGCGUUCAUCUUCAAACAGGAGGAGAAGCACAGCAAAGGGCUGUCGGCCACCGGCGUGUAUGACGCUCCCUCUCGUCUCCCGGUGCAAAGCAUCAUCGCAAGCAUGGUUGAUCAGUCUGCUUCAUAUGGAACUGUGGCCAUUGACCUGCAGAAUCCAGAUCCACCGGCUGACAGCAGUAAACUGGCUCUGCCCACGGAGAACGGAGCUGGGAGUCGGAGACCCAGCAUUGCCCCUGUGCUGGAGAUUGCAGAUUCCUCUGCCAUCCUGCCUUGUGAUCUUCUCAGUGACCCCUCUGAAGAUGAGACCAACCAGUCCGAUGAGGAAGGAGCACCGGCCAUAGAGUGUGUUAAAGGCUACCCUCCAAACUCCCCUUACAUUGGAAGCUCCCCAACUCUUUGCCACCUUCUGCAACAAAAGGCGCCAUUUUGUUGUUUACGACUUGACAAGGGUUGUCGGCACAAUAGUUUUGAAGAUGCCAAGGCGUAUGGUUUCAAGAACAAGUUGAUUAUCGUUUCGGCUGAGACAGCAGGAAACGGCUUGUACAACUUCAUAGUGCCGCUGCGUGCCUAUUACCGACCCCGGAAGGAGCUGAAUCCCAUUGUGUUGCUGUUGGAUAACCCGCCCGAUAAUCAUUUUCUUGAGGCCAUCUGCUGUUUCCCUAUGGUGUACUACAUGGCUGGAACCAUAGACAAUUUGGAUAACUUACUGCAGUGUGGCAUCAUCUACGCUGAUAACCUGGUGGUGGUGGACAAGGAGAGCACUAUGAGUGCAGAGGAAGACUACAUGGCAGAUGCUAAAACCAUAGUCAAUGUGCAGACCAUGUUCAGGUUGUUUCCUAGUCUCAGCAUAAUCACUGAGCUAACCCAUCCUUCUAAUAUGAGAUUCAUGCAGUUUCGUGCCAAAGACUGCUACUCCCUGGCUCUCUCCAAACUUGAAAAGAUCGAGAGAGAUAAAGGCUCUAAUCUGGCAUUCAUGUUCCGCCUCCCAUUCGCUGCAGGCAGAGUGUUCAGUAUUAGUAUGCUGGACACUCUACUUUACCAGUCUUUUGUGAAGGACUACAUGAUUCUCAUUGCAAGACUUCUGCUGGGUCUAGACACCACCCCGGGCUCUGGCUACCUGUGUGCUAUGAAGGUAUCGGAAGAGGACUUAUGGAUCCGGACAUAUGGAAGACUAUUCCAGAAGCUGUGUUCAUCUAGUGCAGAAAUCCCCAUUGGGAUAUACCGCACUGAAUCUCACAUGUUCUCUUCCUCGGAGUCUCAGGUGUCUGUGGAGGACUGUGAGGACCCGCGGGAUCGCAGGGAAUCCUGGAAAGAGAAAACCGCCCACAGAAACUCCACAGGGAGCGACCAAUCAGAGCACCCACUCCUGCGGAAGAAGAGCAUGCAGUGGGCGAGACGGCUGAGCAGGAAAAACACUAAACCACCCAGUCGAGCCGAACGCAUCAAUCAACAGCGCCUGAACCUGUACCGGCGCUCCGAGAGACAGGAGCUGUCAGAGCUGGUGAAGAACCGCAUGAAGCACUUAGGGCUGCCCACUGUGGGAUACGAGGACGUAGCUAAUUUAACCGCAAGUGAUGUGAUGAACCGAGUAAAUCUAGGAUAUUUGCAAGCAUGGCAACCGAGCAACGUUUAUGGGGUCAGCUGUGAUUAUAUGAUGCAGUAUAUGGAUGGAUGGAUGGAUGGAAAUAUUGAAUUCGUGGGUGGAUGCGGACCCUGUCUGCAUGUGUCCGCGCAUGGGGAGCGCUUGCGGUUGCAUGGGCGUUCCGUAAAUGCAGCCAUGCCCUGUCAGUAACGGUUAGCCCUUCUCUCUCUUUUACCUGGCCUGGCACUAUAAGUGGCUCAAACAGGUGGGUUUGGAGAAGCAGAGACACUUUGUCCCAGUCUUGAGUCUCCUUAUUUCCAGAACUGCAAAGGUUCACACUUCUCAGUCAUUUACAAGCAGGUAAAAUACAACAAAGCCUCAGAAACCCAGCCUACAAAAUCGUAACACUGUGGGGUUACACAACAACUGCCUCCCCUUUUGACAUUUUAUUGAAUAUAUUUCCCUACUUUUGUUGGCUAUUCUGACUCAACUCAACAGUAUAGAGAAGUUUCAUUAUUUAUAAUAGGGAGUAGGGAUAAAGAUAAAUGUUAAAGAUAAUUUAUCAGAACUGUGUCACAUGAAUGUUUUUGGUUAUUAAGAACUGAAACGGGUUAAGUACGACAGUGAUGUUGUGUUUUGUUUCUCUUGCAGAUGAAAUGAAUGACAAUCAGAACACGUUGUCGUAUGUGCUGAUAAACCCUCCUCCGGACACCAUUCUAGAGCUCAAUGAUAUUGUCUAUAUCAUCCGCUCUGAUCCGCUGGCACACGUCCCUGACAAUCUCCCAGGGGCUCCAGCAGGA